GUUCUAAAGUGUUGUUCAAUGCAUCUUUAUUGGUUACAUCUUCCUUAGUGUCAACGGAAUUAGCCACAACUUUUUCACUGAUUUCAUCUUCCUUAGUUCCAAAUCUAUGAAUGUUUAUAUGUUAAUGAAAAUAGAUAUGAAAAAAACCUUUAUAAUGAUAUUCUCAUUCUGGAGUGUUGUGUUAAGAAAGAGUGGAUUCCCUUUAGGUAAAGUUUUCUCUUCACUUAACAUGUAUUAGUAAUCAUCUGUCAAAAAGAUCAACAAUCAUAACCUGAGAGUGAGAGUGUGAGACAACAUAACACAUUGUCUAUAUUUCCUUACAUGUGAUGUGAUUUGUUGAAUAUAAAAAAAUAAUGAAAUUACAAAAAGUAUUUGGAACUUUGAGAAGUUGAACAUAUACCUGACAACUCAAUAUAUGAUUCUUGGCUUGCUCUUUAUCCAUUCCACUCUAACCAUCCAAUAGAGAAG
rnacentral:lncRNA from 1 species